CACCGCAUGCUCGCCUUGCUGGUCACCCUCAUCUUGGAGUACUGCAUCUUCACAUCUGUAGCCCUUCAUCUAAGUCUCAGGCAGCACUAGUGCUGUAGUUUCAGCCGAAUUCUUGGUAUUCGAGAAUUUAUGAAUGAGGCACUGAGCACACCAAAAGAGGUCAGAGAUUGGGGAUUCUACUGAUGGGCAGAUGCAGAACUGCAAGAAGCGAGUGGGCAGCAGGCUAUGUUCAUUCG
rnacentral:pre_miRNA from 1 species